UGAUUUGUGUGGUUAUUACAGUGUUCCUGCAGAUGGCAGUCGAGUGUCUCGAGGAAGUCCCUCGUGGGCUGCAAGAGGGCACCAUUUCCCUGCCUCCAGUCUGCCCAGAGUCCUGCUUCCAUCCUUCAGGGCCCAGGAAUCUUCAGUAUCCGGAGCUCCAGGGCUGAAAUGGGGCUUCUCUUUCUUGGGAUUUAGCAUAGCUUGAGAUUUGAGAGCUCAGCAGCACCAUCUCACACCCCUUUCCAUCCCCAGCCUAGCAAACAGAAGAGGAAGUUUUCUUCAUUCUUUAAGAGCCUCGUCAUUGAGCUGGACAAGGAGCUGUACGGGCCUGACAAUCACCUGGUGGAGUGGCACCGGAUGCCCACCACCCAGGAGACAGAUGGCUUCCAAGUAAAACGGCCUGGAGACCUCAACGUCAAGUGCACCCUCCUGCUCAUGCUGGAUCAUCAGGUGACAGAGACCCUGGGGUCAUUUCUGGGCCCACAGGGACCCCUCAGGAGGGGAGCUGGUUCCUAGAAACCCUUCCUGUCCCUGCCCUAUUUUCCCACUGUUCUACUAUAAG
rnacentral:lncRNA from 1 species